GGGGGCGAAACGGAUUCGACGGGGAUAUAGAAGCUCAAAGUAGCAUGCCGAGGUCUGUCUGCUCGUAAAACAGAUGGAAAAC
rnacentral:tmRNA from 1 species